CCGAAGCGGCCAAACCCCUGGUCGCAGUCCAGAAAUGGCCGCCGUCGCGAAGCUCUCCGUCUCCAGCCAGGCCUUCGCGGCGCUCCUCGACUGCUGCGGGACCGCCGCCGGGGACUGUGACGGGCUACUCUGCGGCCGUGCCGCCCGCCCCCCGGCCCCUCCCCCUUCCUUCUCCGACGACGACGACUCCGGCGCCACCUCCUUCGCCCCAACCCUAUCCACAUCAACGUCACCGGCCACGCCUCGCUCGCCCGACCCUCCUCCCUCUCCGACGCCCUCGGCCGCUUCCAGCCCUACUCCCCCGCUCGCCCAGCCACCGUGGGCUUCUUCUCCUCCCGCCGCAGCGCGGCGCGCCGCCCCUCCAUGCGCGAGGUCGCCGUCGCCCGCUCCCUGUCUAAAUCGUUGGCCCUCACCCACCCCCUCGUGUUUCUGCUCGUAGCCCCCUCUGCCUCCUCCAACCUCUCCAUCCACUCGUUCGACUACCGCGCCUUCCUCCUCGUGGAUUCCCGCCUCUUCCCCACCUCCCUCCAGGUCGUCAACGUGGGUCCUGGUUUUCGGGGCCAGUACCACACCUUCGCGGCCGAGUCGCCAAUGCCGUGGCUGCCGCGUCCGCCGGCAAAGGGCUUCAGCAUCGGAGACCAGAAGGCGAUGGAGGGGAUGAUGGAUGCGUUCGGGCUGGGAAGGGUGGAGGCCUUGGUGGCCUCGGCCACGGGGCAAGCAACCGAGGUGGAGGAGAUGUAUUCCGGGAUGCUAAGGAGGCUGGAGAGGCUUGCUCGGGAGUCGGAGGGGGGCAAGAAGCUGGUGCGCCGUCAGGAAGAACAUAUUGGAAAGGAGAAAAAUUGCUGGGUUGGAGUAAGGGCAGAGAUCUUGUUCUCAGCAAGCGUGUAGAGGUUCUGUAAGAGAGGUCGCAAGAUUUGAAGCCGGGAUCCUUGAACUGUAUCUUGAGUUGAAGUGCCUGCCUAUUUCCUCCUCUUUUUGGCUGGAUGGUUUCUGGACUUCCAGUGUCGCAUGUUUGUUCUUUUUGGACAGAAGAUUCAGGGGUUCAAAGGAUGCGGAGACUAGGAUAGUACUAACUGUGAAACCGUGGAUCUUUUUUUCAUGCAUGCGAAUGUGAGACGUGGCAUCAUUUCGCCACUGCCACUUGGAUAGCCGAAUGCACUAGUGUUCCAUGUUAUGCGGUUAAGCAGAUUCAAGUCCAAUUUGAUUUUGCCAUUCUAGUAUGCUUUUAUAUGCAAAAUGGAGCUGUACGUGGUGCUAGUUGGUGCCUAGUUACCGGAUCAGCGUUCGUCGAGCCAUGCUUAAAGUAGCAUGAUGGUGCUCUUUAAUAUAAUAUCGUAUGUGAAA